GGCCAUUUUACCUCAUUUUACCUCAGCACGGUAGAGCCGGUCCCGGCUUGUCUCUGUCCUGCUCCUGGCUCUCCCGCCCACUUAGGGAGCGGGAAAAACUCUUGCCCACAUCCUCAGGGAAUGCCACAAUGUGACAGAGCUGUGACCGAAGCCCCUCAGCCCUCCUGAGGGGAUACACCCAGGAUACAGAGGGCCCCACUGCCAUUGCCUGCUGUGUGGAGGGCACUCAUUGCACAGGCUGGCUUAGAGCUGCACAAGGACUUUAAGAGAGGAAGCUGAAUUAGAAGAGUAAGAAUGAUUUAAACAACAAAGCUGUUCCCAUUUGAAGACACUGCUGUGGUGUAUUUUGGACACUGGAACUUGGUACUUCCCAUUCAUGCUACCCUGCCAUGUUUUCCAGCUACCCUGCCAGCAUACAGAUCUCUGCCUGUGGUGGUCACAUGAGAUGUACACUGGGCUCAACUCAGCUGGAAGAACUGCAUCCUGCACAUGUUCUCCUGCUGGAGACUUCCAUGCUGUAAACUUUGCCUGUGACAAAGCUGAUUGCUGCUGAACAGACAGGCUGCUGCCAUACUGCAUCUGAGCCAGAGGCAUUGAUUCCUCCAUGGCACAUGGAAUAUUCUGAACAUUUCUCCAGUUAGUUACAUCACCCCUCUGAUCUCGAGGAAUCCACAUGUACAGUGCACAGUCUAUUUAUUGUACAGCUGUCUUUCCAUUAAGACAACUCUUCAUCUCUUCCGUGAUACCCAUCACAAUAUUUGUUUCCAACAAAAGUAUAAGCUGUCUGUCGUUUCCCCCAUUCCUUUUUUUUUCCUUAAUAUCAUAAGAUUUGAAUAAAUCUA